UUACGGCCAUAUCGCGUUGAAACACCGGUUCUCGUACGAUCACCGAAGUUAAGUUAAGCAACACUGAGCCUGGUCAAUACCUCGAUGGAUGACCGCUUGGGAAUACCAGGUACUGUAAU